GGCAAAAGUGCUAACCACCAAGCACACUGUGCACCCCAAGCAGAAGAUAUGUUAUCUAUAAAACAGGAUUGAGAAUUCACUUAAGUUUUGUAGGAUUGUGAUUUUAUUGAGACAGGCUUGAGUGAUAAUCUGACCUCUCAGCAGCACCAAAAUAUCCAAAGACAGUAGCUGAGGCACUGGAAGCACAGCAGCCAUCUUUUAUUUACAAGACAAGAGCUGUGAUGGUGGGUUUGGACUAAAGUGGAGACACAAGAUCCUUCACCUCACUCGGAGGAAGAUAUCUUCAGGCUUCAGCCUGUCAGCAUUUUGACUGGGGCUGCUUCAGGUACUGUACUCUGCUGACACUGAUGGUUUCACCGUGCACAUCCCAUGCACUCAGGCUGAAAACUCAACCUGGCAUUUUCCUGGAGCUGGAUUGGAGACAGUGGAGACGGAGCACUCUCGCACUGACAGCUCACCGUCUCUCUGGUAUUAAUCACAGCAUCUCCGUCUCGCCACGGGGGAAAUCUCCACCGCAACUCUUCACUUCAUCUGGAAUUAAUGCAAGAUGUCGGAGAAGGAUGGGAGAUUCUGAGCUGCCAAGAAUGGAAAGUCAGGUCACGGAAGGAGGAUACAGAGAGAAGAAGUAAAUAAAUUCUUUACAUUAGGAAUUUAUAUCCAGGUUGUAUGGUGCUUGAGAGAACAACUGCCCAAGCAGGAUUCAACUUUAAAAAAGCACUGAUUUACACACAACGUAAUGAUGCAUUGUUUGGAAUUAAUGCUAUUUAAUACUUGUGGUUUGUAUGUCCUUCCACUGGUAGUUAUUAGACUUCUGGCAUGGACAGCAGAAAGGUGCAAAGAGGAAGGGUGGAAGCACAAGAAAUUGGUUACAUAGUGUGAAGUAAGGUUUGAAAGAGUGAAUGAAAAGAGGAUAAAUGCAGUGAAAAGGAUGACUGAGGUGGUUUAAGGUGGAACAUGAAGUUUUAUGGGUUAUAGUGUGGACCCAACUUAAUUUUUUUGUAAGGAGCCAAAUCAGUAUGCUCUCACACAGAAAUACUGAAACUUCUGCGUCUGUGCUUUCAGAAAUUAUUUAGGCUGUGGACUGACCAUCAUCACAAACAGCGAUAAGUACAAAAAGCCGAAUCUGUUUAUCUACCCGCUAAACGUGCUCAGUGGUAGCUAUUUUCUCAAUGUAAGAGAAUUGAAUGUCUCAAAUCCUUUAGCAUAUCAAAGACAAAAGAUACAUUCUGCAUUGUCAAGAUACACAAUGUAACAGUUC
ensembl:lncRNA